rnacentral:rRNA from 1 species
GACGAACGCUGGCUGCGUGCCUAAUACAUGCAAGUAGAACGCUGAAGGAGGAGCUUGCUUCUCCGGAUGAGUUGCGAACGGGUGAGUAACGCGUAGGUAACCUGCCUGGUAGCGGGGGAUAACUAUUGGAAACGAUAGCUAAUACCGCAUAACAGUAGAUAUUGCAUGAUAUCUGCUUGAAAGGUGCAAUUGCAUCACUACCAGAUGGACCUGCGUUGUAUUAGCUAGUUGGUGGGGUAACGGCUCACCAAGGCGACGAUACAUAGCCGACCUGAGAGGGUGAUCGGCCACACUGGGACUGAGACACGGCCCAGACUCCUACGGGAGGCAGCAGUAGGGAAUCUUCGGCAAUGGACGGAAGUCUGACCGAGCAACGCCGCGUGAGUGAAGAAGGUUUUCGGAUCGUAAAGCUCUGUUGUAAGAGAAGAACGAGUGUGAGAGUGGAAAGUUCACACUGUGACGGUAUCUUACCAGAAAGGGACGGCUAACUACGUGCCAGCAGCCGCGGUGAUACGUAGGGUGCGAGCGUUGUCCGGAUUUAUUGGGCGUAAAGGGCUCGUAGGUGGUUGAUCGCGUCGGAAGUGUAAUCUUGGGGCUUAACCCUGAGCGUGCUUUCGAUACGGGUUGACUUGAGGAAGGUAGGGGAGAAUGGAAUUCCUGGUGGAGCGGUGGAAUGCGCAGAUAUCAGGAGGAACACCAGUGGCGAAGGCGGUUCUCUGGGCCUUUCCUGACGCUGAGGAGCGAAAGCGUGGGGAGCGAACAGGCUUAGAUACCCUGGUAGUCCACGCUGUAAACGGUGGGUACUAGGUGUGGGGUCCAUUCCACGGGUUCCGUGCCGUAGCUAACGCUUUAAGUACCCCGCCUGGGGAGUACGGCCGCAAGGCUAAAACUCAAAGGAAUUGACGGGGCCCCGCACAAGCGGCGGAGCAUGCGGAUUAAUUCGAUGCAACGCGUAGAACCUUACCUGGGUUUGACAUGGAUCGGGAGUGCUCAGAGAUGGGUGUGCCUCUUUUGGGGUCGGUUCACAGGUGGUGCAUGCCUGUCGUCAGCUCGUGUCGUGAGAUGUUGGGUUAAGUCCCGCAACGAGCGCAACCCUUGUUCACUGUUGCCAGCACGUUAUGGUGGGGACUCAGUGGAGACCGCCGGGGUCAACUCGGAGGAAGGUGGGGAUGACGUCAAGUCAUCAUGCCCCUUAUGUCCAGGGCUUCACGCAUGCUACAAUGGCUGGUACAGAGAGUGGCGAGCCUGUGAGGGUGAGCGAAUCUCGGAAAGCCGGUCUCAGUUCGGAUUGGGGUCUGCAACUCGACCUCAUGAAGUCGGAGUCGCUAGUAAUCGCAGAUCAGCAACGCUGCGGUGAAUACGUUCCCGGGGCU